GUACCGUUGAAGAGUCCUAAACUAGGACGAAACAACUGUCCAGUAC
rnacentral:hammerhead_ribozyme from 1 species